rnacentral:rRNA from 1 species
GCGAGUGAAGCGGCAAAAGCUCAAAUUUGAAAUCUAGCACCUUCGGUGUUCGAGUUGUAAUUUGAAGAUGGUAACCUUGGGUUUGGCUCUUGUCUAUGUUCCUUGGAACAGGACGUCAUAGAGGGUGAGAAUCCCGUCUGAUGAGAUGCCCAUUCCUAUGUAAGGUGCUAUCGAAGAGUCGAGUUGUUUGGGAAUGCAGCUCUAAGUGGGUGGUAAAUUCCAUCUAAAGCUAAAUAUUGGCGAGAGACCGAUAGCGAACAAGUACAGUGAUGGAAAGAUGAAAAGAACUUUGAAAAGAGAGUGAAAAAGUACGUGAAAUUGUUGAAAGGGAAGGGCAUUAGAUCAGACUUGGUGUUUUACGAUUAUCUUCUCUUCUUGAGUUGUGCACUCGUAUUUCACUGGGCCAGCAUCGAUUCGGAUGGCAAGAUAAUGGCAGUUGAAUGUGGCUUCACUUCGGUGGAGUGUUAUAGCUUCUGCUGAUAUUGCCUGUCUGGAUCGAGGGCUGCGUCUUUUGACUAGGAUGCUGGCGUAAUGAUCUAAUGCCGCCCGU